AAUACGGUCAUUUUUCAGUUAUUAGAUACAAUGUUUUGACUCUUCGUUUUAUUUGAAUUUUUUUACGAUUAAUAUUUUUAUUGUUACUAGAUAAUAAAAUAUGAAUAGUACUUUAUGCAUGACUAAUUAUUUUAAGUUUUUUACAAUUUUUUCAAAUAAGAUUAAUGGUCAAAGCAUUAGUCACGUAAAUCAAAAAAUGAGUUUAUU
rnacentral:pre_miRNA from 1 species